CUGAGAAAAACUCUCUUGCUCUUCUCAAUCUUUUUCCCUCUCCAAAAAUCAUAGAGCCUAUAAACUUUUGUGAUUCUCAUCCCGGAUAAUACAGAAGGCUCCAAUUGGUGCUGGCCAUUAGGGUUUCGAGUGAUCAAUUCCGGAGAAAAGGAAAUAUGUGAAGAAAAUGUUUUUCAAGGGCAGGUGAUGGAAAAAUAUCGAAACACACAUGGACGAAAGUUGAUGACGCUAGGUUGGUAAAUGCCCUAGUCUCUUUGGUGGAGUUUGGUUGGAAAUCCGACAAUGAGAUAUUUCAGCCAGGAUAUCUACUGCACUUGGAGCGAAUGAUAGAGGACAAGUUGCCCAGGGUUCAAGUGGAACGAGGAGUUCAAAUGCGUUCAGAGGGACAAGGAGAACUUUGAUGUCUGGGUUCGAAGUCAUCCCAAUGCGAGGGGUUUGUAGAACCCAUUAUGAUGAACUAUCAAAUGUAUUUGGGAAGGACAAGGCAACCAGUCAGUCCUGCGAGCCCCCGAUGGUGAUGGCGUCAAAUUUGUUUAGGAAAAUAGAGGACGAGUUCAGCUAGGAUCACAGGAAUACCAUACCCCAGGUAAUAAAUAAACCCAAUUGCCAAAGGAUACAAUGGAAAAAGAUCAAGUAGAUAUGUCCAUGGGGAAAGUAGUUGUACCAGAUAUGGGGCAGAGCAAAUGUAUCAACGGAGCCAUAUAAACAAACUCAUUGCGUGGCAAACGGAGAAACACGAGCUAGAAUUUGGACAUCAAAAGGAAGUAGUUCAGGCCAUAUUUGGAAUUGAAAGACUAAUUGCUAAUGAUAGAUGCGACCUAAUUGAUAUAAUUGGUAUGGACAUACAAAAGACGGACCUCUUCCUCGUUGUACCAGAAGAGGCACAUAAGUGGUAUUGCAUCCACCUACUUGUUUGGACCCAUUAGAUUGAUCAACUAAUAUUUCAACCUAAAAUAUAUAUUUUGUGAAUU